rnacentral:tRNA from 1 species
CAGGGAGACAACAAAAUGUUUAAUAUUAUUAUUUUGUCACCUUAGGUCGAUCGGUAUCUCACGUUUUUAAUUUAUUAAGAAUUUCAUUUCCUAAGUUUUUCUAGGCCACACCCAUUUUUUUUCCUGGGCCAUUAGCUCAGGUGGUUAGAGCGCACCCCUGAUAAGGGUGAGGUCCCUGGUUCAAGUCCAGGAUGGCCCAUAUCUCUAUGUUGGGGGUAUAGCUCAGUUGGUAGAGCGCCUGCUUUGCAAGCAGGAUGUCAGCGGUUCGAGUCCGCUUACCUCCACUGAUUACCACCUCUUCCAUAACCGGCAAAAAGGAAAUUUUUUGAGUUGUGAUCAAAUUCUGAAAGAAUCUAGCUUCCUAAUGAAAUCAUUAAGAUGCUGGACUCAUUGAAUUAAUUUCAUUGUUUUCAGAGAACCUUGACAACUGCAUAGAUUAUUUUUAAAGACAAUAAGCAUCUUUAAUGAUGCAGAUUUAUUAUUUGUGCGAAUGCAUUAAUAACAAUUCUAUUAAGCUGAUGCUUCAAUUUUUGAAGUUAUU